GGUUAUGUUCAGGCGUUCAGCCCAUGUAGGUGGUAGCCUACACGAAGAGUUCCUUGUAAUCCCUUCUCUUUAGCCGCGUUUCGGUUAAGAACACUUGCAUCUCUCCUGCUGUGGAGCAACGUAUUUAUUUGCCGGUGACAAAUCGAUUGACCGGACGCAGCCCUCAACUGAUGUCUGUGAGUGCCAGAUGUCGGUCCUCAGAGCCGAACCCGCAGCCUAGGAGCACUGAGAAAUAGACAUCAAGAUUGUAAAAAUUGUAAAUGUUCUUUGCCGUUGAUGAAUAAAUACAUGCAACAUGUGAAGAACAGAGCUCUCAGGAAUAUAUAUACCUUAAAUAGAAUACCAAAAGUAACGGAGAGCAAUUUCAGAUACCAUUGUGAACAAAUUUGGGAAAGAUGAACGCUGACACUGAAUCUUCACUGAAAUGUUAUAUUUGUGGCAAAGUGUUCAAACAAAAAAGCUAUCGCGAUCGUCAUAUGCAAUAUGUUCAUAAGCAAAAUUGUAAAGGAGAGCCAUUGCUUGAAGUCAAUUAUACUUGCUAUUUGUGUGAUAAAAAAUUUUAUAACAAUACAAAUUUAAAAGUUCAUUUGAAUGCAGUUCACUUACAACAGGAUGAUUUUAAUUUACUUAAAUGUGACAAAUGCAACUACAGCACUGCAUACAAGUCAAAUCUUAGAAGGCAUCAGUCAACACAUACAAAUCACAAACCACAAACGCUAUUGAAUUGUUCAGAAUGCAAUGCCAUAUAUAGUACUUUGACAGCUUUAAGGUUGCAUGAAAAAAAAACUCACAAAGCUGCAAAAAUAGAACGAGCAGUUAUACAAAGGAAAUGCCCAAUGUGCCCGUUUCUUUCUUUUUCUACCAAGCGGAAUGAAAUGAAUAAACAUCUGGAAAACAAACACGAAUUGACCUUAUGUAAGAAACAGUACUCUUUUGUGUCAAUUGAAGCAUUUCAUGAAUGGAGACUGAAGGCUGCAAAAGAAUCAAAAUGUGCGUAUCAGUUACGAAAUAGAAGUAAUAACAGAUUGUAUUAUGCUUGUAAUAGGAGUGGUUUUUAUAAAUCUAGAGGUUUAAAUAAACGGAAGAGACCGGUUUCGUGCAAAAUGAAUGCUUACUGUCCUGCUAAUAUUAAAUGUUUCAUCGAUACAAAUGGUGGAGUAAAUGUAGAGUAUAUGCCUCUUCAUGUUGGUCAUAAUAAUGAACUGAAGCAUAAAAGGUUGACUACCGAAGUUAAAAAGUUUAUUGAAAAAAAAUUAGCUUCUAAAACUCCCCACUAUGAUGUAUUUCAAAUGGUCAGAAGUACCUUAACCGACCAAGAGCUGCAAAGAUUGCAUCUAUUAACAAGAGAAGAGAUCGCCAAUAUUGAAAGGGAUUUUAACCUAACGUCUGAGGUGCAGAAACAACCCUUUGACCCAGUAGGUGUUGAAUGCUGGUAUCGUCAACUGAAGGACUCAAAAGAUACAGCUUGUGUGUUUUAUAAACCACAAGGGGAAAUAUUGAAUGACUAUCCCGAAUUAAAAAAAGGCGAUUUUGUUCUGAUUUAUAUGUCAGAAAAUCAAAAGGUGUUGCUUGAUAAAUAUAAGAAAGAUACCAUAUGUAUAGACGGUACGCACGGUACCAAUAAGCUGAAUUUUCAGCUCUAUACUAUUUUAACUUUAGACAUCAGCCGAGAAGGGUUUCCAAUUGCUUUUAUGUUUAGUAAUAGGGGAGAUGACAACAUAAUGUCUUUAUUUUUCCAAAAAAUAAAAGAUGUAGUAGGUGUUGUACAUACAAAUGUUUUUAUGUCUGAUAUCGAAGAAACCUUUUACAAUGCCUGGGUUAAGGUCAUGGGUCCAGUGCAAUUAAGGUUAUUUUGUACAUGGCAUGUCCUGAAAGCGUGGCGAAAGAAUUUAAACAAAAUACGAUCAAAAGAAAAGAAAGAUGCCACUUUUAAAAUUUUGCAAACUUUGCUACAAGAAAGAGACAUAAAUACUUUUCAUACCCUACUGGAAGGAGCCUUAAAACAGUUGGAUAGUGAACAAGAUACUUCUGCCUUCAGCAACUAUUUCAAUGAUUAUUUCGUAAAAAACCACCGUUUUAAACUUUGGGCGUAUUGCUACCGCAUGAGUGCUGGCAUAAAUACUAAUAUGUCAAUAGAGAGCUUCAAUAAAGUUUUGAAGUAUUUUUAUCUGGAAGGAAAGAAAGUGCAAAGUUUGGAUGAAACCUUAUGUGCUUUAAUAAACUUUAUUAGAGACAAACUUUUUGACUGCUUAAUAAAACUGGAAAAGAGUAAAGUAGUUACAAAACUACAAAUUCUACGUAGACGCCAUAUAGAGAGCUAUGAAAUUGCUGACUGUAACAUGAUUACAUUGGAAAAUGAAUGGCAAGUGUUAUCUUCCAAAGCACAAGAAUUUUAUUCAGUAAAGAAAGUUAAAAAUUGCAACUGUUGUGUACUUUUGUGCCCACAUUGUAAUUCCUGUUUUCAUGAAUACAUCUGUUCGUGUAUGGACAAUAGUAUAAAAAACAACAUGUGCAAGCAUAUCCAUUUGGUGGCUCGCUCACUCUGUAACAAAACUGAAGAAUCUUCUAUUGAAAUUUAUGAUUGUGAGGUUGUGGAAAUGGACAUUGAUGAUUAUAUGUACUCUGAAGAGCAAAUACUAAAAGAAAUUUCAUGUGACAUAAACAACACUCCUAAUGAUGAGGCUCGCACAAAGAGAAUUUGUGAAAAAAUUGACUAUGUGAUUGAAUAUAUGAAAAGAAAAACAACUACUUCAGACCAAAAAAAUUAUAUUGAUAAACAUUUGACACAAAUGUUAACUACAUUAAAUGCAAUGGCUACUAAUGCGCAGAUACCAGUUAAGGAAGAAGAGUGCAACAGAAAGCAACCAGACAGUAGUAAUACUACUAAAUAGAGAUGUUUUCUUUUCACCAUAAAGAACCAAAACCUUUACCGUGGAGAAAAAGAUAAGAAGUUUCUCUGGAAUUAAGUCUCUGGAGUGGCAAUGGGAGACUUCAAUAAAUUAGUCUAAAUGUGACAAAUCGAUUGACCAGACUCAGCCCUCAACUGUUGUCUGUGAGUGCCAGAUGUCAGUCCUCAGAGCCGAACCCGCAGCCUAGGAGCACUGAGAAAUCCAUUAACCAAGUUUCUCUGCUGGGUCGAGUGGGCGGUGAACCACAGAAGCGAGGCAAUGA
rnacentral:misc_RNA from 1 species